UUAUUAGAUCUGUAAGUGGAAAGUGUACAGAUUGAAGGGAAGAUGACAAUUCGUAGUAUUAGAAGACAAAAUUAAAGGCAAAGCUGUGAGAAAACCCAUAGUGAACGAUUUAAUGAAGUGGUUAAAUCCAUUGUAGAACACAAACAGUUUUUAAUUGGAAACAUCGGACAGUUUCAUCUCUCUAUCAAAUGUUCAGAGGAAAUCAAAUACCCCGUUGUAUAAAAAGCAGCUGGGACACAGGGAGAAUGGCACUUCUAUCAGUGCUCUGUAAGAGGUCAAUGACAAUUUUAAUUGAUGCUAUUUCGGUUCUUGUGGUAUGGUUGGUAACUAGAAUAGAAAUAUCCGAGCUGCCUCUUCUUAGAAAUAUGUGGACUUUAUUCAGGAGAAUUUUCAGCUGAGUAUCAAGUACAAAAAUCAGAUAAAAUCUGCAGACACAAGAGAGUGAAUGCAGUUAAAGUUUGUUCGAUGGGUACAACCCGUUUCAUCGGUUUCUGAAAAACAUGGAGACUGUCAACACUUACGCAAGUUAACAGCAAAGCCAGACAUCAAACAAAUCACAUUACUCUAAAACUAGCAGGCAGCUCUUAAAAUAACUAAAUAAAUUAUAAGCAACAAUUGCUUUAAAGAUUGUUUUCAUGCAUUUUUAGACUUUACAGAGCCCUUUUAUGGCUCGUUCUUUGUCAGCCUGAGAUCACAGCGUGGUUCUAGUAAAUCCAUCUCUUGAUUUCUUUGGUGUCAGUGUUGCAUACCCUAACAAAUAGAAACUGGAUUACUAAAGUAGUGGGAAUAUGUUUUCAAGUCUGAACAAUAGCAGUAUUCCCAGUUUGCUUUUGCUUUUUCAAAUACAAAGAGUAAGAUUGCUGUAGAGCACUAGAGACAAUAAUAGAAAACAAUGCGGCUAAUUUUGGAGGUAGAGUGUUUCUACAGUUUAUUCGUGAAGAGAACUACUGUCAAUCAUUUCAAAAAGAAAAAUCUAGCUGGCGGUCUUUGCUGCGGGCUGACAGGUUGUAGUAGAGCUCUGGGAAGUAUGUCUGAGCUUCUGGAGCAUGGGCAUGUGAAGAGUGGGUGGUUUUAUGACUUCUCAGGCCAAACACUGGGAAUCGGAUGGUCCAAUGCACAUCCCUGCUGCGGUGACGUAUGGUGAAUUUGGUGUCAGGCUUAUGCUGGGACUGCUAUUAUUCUGCACAGAGAUAUCUUCUGAUGCUCUGCUUGUCAUGGAGCCCGUGUAUCCCCUGGUUAAUUUUGAACUACUUAAGCCCAAGAGCUGCAGGCUGGAUUCUCAGCUGCCAUGAACUCCCAGCAGUGCACUGAUGCGAGCGAAGCAGCCCAGCUCUGUGCAAAGACUCUGCAUGGAAGGCUGAUUUUAAUGACAAUUCUCUUAAAUACAUAACGCUUUUUAGCCAGGAGCUGAUUUUUAUCCAGGUUGGUAAAAAAUAAGGAUUGCUUCACUUUUUCCUGAAGCAAAUACACAUGCAUUUGUGUGCCUCUGGAGAAGCGUGGGGGAGCAGAUUUCUGCAGGGCUGCUUCAGCUGGCGAUCCCAGCCUCACACGGAUGCAGCAGGGCUUCAGCUCUCUCCUCAUUAUACUUCAAACCCUCGUUAGCACUGAGGAUUAUAUUGGCAUUGGUAACUUUGUGUUGGGACAAUACCAGUUUCUUCUUCAAGCGUCCUUUUUCCCUCCUGCUCACUGUGGUUCAUGCUGCUCACAUUCCCACACUCUUGCCAGGUUAGCUCACUCGUGUUUCUUCAUCACACCAAGUGGCUGUACUGAAGCCAUGCUUCCUUCAUCUGAAGAUCUUACUGCAUGAAUUAAAUAGCUGCAUCUCCUGAACCUCUUGUUUCCUACUUUAAAUACCUUUUGAUUUUUUUUUCCCAGCUCUGUUGCGCUUUCUAGGUUUUAGGUGGAAUCCUUCUAAAAUGCUUUCAUCACAUUAACUUUGUGAUGAAGGUUUUGUUUAUUAUUAUACAUUCAAAUAUGUUUUCAGGUUAUAUUUGUUGUUUUUUUAGCUUAAUAAUCAUUUGAGCAUUCAUUCUUAGUCUACAAGAAACUUAAUGUGAGAGUGCAGAAAAUGCAGAGAUUCAGACUGGCUAUUCUCUAAACGAAUACGUGGCUGUUUCAGAAUGUUGUCUAACAGUGUAAUGCCUUCUGAUUUUAAUAGCAUUAUAUAAUUAGAGUGAGCGGAAUGGAAGGUCAGGCUUUAAAGACAGGCCUCACGCCACUGUAACUACUGCCACUGGAUUCAUGCUGUAUCAGACUUAGUAUUUUAUCCUCUUGCCUUUAGACACCGAUGAACACCUGCAUCGUACUGCAGUGACGCACAUAGCUGAGGGAUAAACUGGUCCUUAGGAGUGAGUUUGGAAUGAGAAGAAAGAGUGGGGAAUAACUUAGACUGAAGUGUACAUCCACAAUAACAGAGCUGAGUCAAACCACAAAUAAAUUCAGCGUGGCAAGGUAACCUGGAGUUAGAUUUUUCACUGUUUUUCUGCCUCAUCUGUUGUUGUCAUAGAAAAGGGGAUUUCUUGCCCUUUCUUUUAUUGUCUUCUUUUUUUUUUUUUACAAUCUCUGCGUAUUGUGGCUGUGAUUCCUUCCAGCCUCUGUCUCCUCAUCCUCUCAUGUUGCUCUUUCAAAGAAGCUCAGGACACAGGGUCUGUUUUGUUCUGCCUUCUUUUUCCUCCAGUUGCUGCUGACUGGCACUGCUCAGCCUGCCCUCCCCUCCAGGCUGCGAGGCACCGGGAACCCACAGCUUCUGUACAUAAACUCCCACCCUUCCUAUCUGCCAUUUCAAACUCUUCCUCCCCAGACUGUCACUGUCAAGCCCCCGGAUGCUGAGCUUCAGCAUUCCACGGCUCCUCGUGAGAAAAUGACCUCAUUUGGGCACAGGGACAGGAGCAGCCAGCCGCUCUUCGUGCUCGCUGGAUGAGAUGGCCAUUAUUUUUGGAAGAGUGCUGCAUGGCUUAUGGUGGCGUCAGAGUUUCUGUGUAGCAGCACUGAGAACAUAAAUACCCAAACUUAUCUCUUGCAGGAUCUUGUGGGUUUCUUAUCCAAGGAUUGCCAAACCCCAAACCCGCCCACCUUGUCAAAUCCCAUGUGAUGUUGCCCCAGGUGAUACGGCAACGCCCACUGCAUAAACAUAUUCCACACUUCAGUUUGUUGCCAGUGCUGGGGAUUUUAAAACCAAUUAGCCAUGUGCUGACAUGCAGCCUGAUGUGGAGCUGGAUGUAUGGAAAUGAAAUGGUUCUGUGCGAUGUGAGCGUAGUGAUUCUUCUGAACUUCAAACUGUGUGGGCUCCCAGCACCUCAUUCAGCUGUGCUUUCAGCUGACAUGUUUGGCCUAUCUGUGCAGUUGUGAGAAAUCUGAUUGUCAAAGAAGAACAUAAGCCCAGCCUGGCAGGAGAUGUGGUUUGCAAACCCAAGCAAAUCCCAAACAUCUGCAAGAAAAAUCAACUCACCAAUAAAGCUGCUAUGCUGUCUUUGGAGGCCCCAGAGCACCACUGCAACUCGUGUGAAGACUCCAGUCCGAUAAAAGCAGUUCCAAUGCAUGAGUGACGGAGCAGUGAGCAAAGUGUGAGAAGAUGGAUGAUACCUUUCAAAUCUGAGGCAUUCAAUAUCACUACUGCUGCUUCCAGUGCAAGCUUUCCCUGCCUACUUAAGGUUUAUAGUUAAGGCAGCAAUGCCACCCAUCUUGACUUACAGGGAUGGCGACAAUCUUGCUACUAUCUGUCUGUUUACUCCUUGGCAUAUUUAGCAGUCAAGGGAACGACACAGAAUGUUGGUUACCGGGCUGCUGCUUUCCUAAGUACAUAAAUAUUAAUGCUUAAAAAGAGCAAAAAUUGAUGUGUAAAUUAAAGUAUACGCACUUUUCCUUAAAACAAACAAACAACUAAAAUUUCAAAUUACUACAGCUUUUAUGAAUUUCCAAGAUAAAAAAAAAGCUAUUAAAAUAAUGUAGCUAAAAUACCAAUUUUCAGAUAGUUUGACCUAGUUGUUGGAGCUGUAAAUUCAAGCCACUGAGCUAGCAGACCCAAGAGCUCAGUGUCUGGAGUCAGACCGGUGGGGCUGCCAGGUCAGCCCCUGCCCCUUGCACCUUGCCCUGAAUAGGCAGGGGACAUAUUUUCCUCAAUUAGUUUGUUCAGUUAAUUCAGCUCAGUCACUUGUGCUCUCCAGAUUAAGAAAUCAGCGGUUGAAUGUGUGUGUUAAGUACUCUGAGCCUGGAACACGCAAUCCAAAUUCUCUUCCUGCUCUAAAACUCCACUUGUAGCUAUAAAAGCGUUCUGUCUGUGCUCUAAUUCAUUAUGUAGUGAGCACGUUCUCCUUUUCUCACUCCCUGGGCAUUGGACAUCAGAAAUAUGUCAAUCCAAAAGACCUGAAACGUACUGAACAUCAGUGGACUUUCUUUCUCCCAUUGAAUCCCCAGGCAUACAGGGAACAAACAUUGCUGGUUCGUUAAUUUAAUUACAAUAACAUAAUGUGGGAUGUUUUACAGAAAACAAAGUCAUUAAAACCCUGAAAAAAAAAACCAACCUCUAGGUAUUGUGGCUGAAACAUUUGAAUGUAGACAUGUGCAUGAGUAUGUAUCUAGUGAGUGAUGCUGAGAUCUAAACUUGAUUUUAUGCUUCAAUGAAAAGUAAGAAGGGGGAACAUGCAUUUUCAAAAGUAAUUACACUACUACCUUGAUCUGCUCACAGGAGGCAUUAAGAGUGAGUGGAUUUUUGUGUCUAGGUCCAACGAAUCUGGUGGUCCUCUGGAGCGCAAACUAUUGUGGCCAAAAUGGUAAGUGAAUUAUUUUGUUUCUUAUAAAUGCGAAGGACUGAAGAGUAGCAAUAUUAACACUAAAUUGAGCAAUUAUCUGCAUUUUGUAUGAUUUGAAACAUUUGCACUGCUCAUUCUGAUUCCUUAGAAAUUUUUGGGAAUGCUCACAGUCUCAGAACACUUCGCAUUUUUGAAUGUUGAAACUUUCUACAGUGACCUGGUGAGCGUUGAAAGAGGUAUUCAAAAUCAUUCAGUGUUCAUCACUCCACCACAUUUCGUUGAUUUGUUUUUCUAAUACUCUAUUAAUAAUAUGUGAACAUAUAUUUUUAUUGAAUCCAUUUUCUUACUAAUAUAUUGCAUGAUUACAAGAAUGAAAUGUUAAGUUUUUAGUCUUUAUUUUCACUUAAGGACUUCUUGGAUUCAUUGCAUCGUGUUCUCUUGAGGUGUCCUCCAACUGGACGGAGAAGGUAGGACUUCAAGGGAAAUACUCAUUUUAAACCCACACUAUCUGCUUGCUGGGAACCUGUUAGUCAGACAGGCAAAGUACCCUUACCUGAGGUCAGUAUUUAGGUGGGAGGUUACCCAGGAACUUGAAAGUGCAACAGUUUGGAGGGUUUUGUACAGAAGUCUUGUCUUCCUUCUAUAUAAACGAUGUCUUCUUUGGCUAUGGAAAGAUCCCACCACUUAGGGCCUCACAACAUCAGUGAGACAUAAAGCUGGUAUGUUAAAUGUGUGUCAUCUUUUAAGACCUAAUGGUUUGUUUCCAAGGGGAGGAGUAGUCAGAUCAAAAUCCAAUUAAAAUUGAAUUCCUGCGCAGUUGUAGUGAGGUGAAUUCUUCGGAUUGCAGCCUCAUUUGCUAGAGAGCAGUGUUAUCAUUGAUUCGAUUCAGUUCAUAUUCUUGUGGAUUUUAAUGGUGAGCAAAUAUAUACUUGUUCUCUGUUGCAAUGUUACUUGUGAUGUUAUGCAUCUGCUCUAGGUGCUUUGAAUGGAAGCUUAACCAAGUUGUAGCCUAGGAAGAAAUUACCUGGAUGUAGCCAUUUAAAGCUACAGCUGAUGGUAACUUUGCCCUCGUGACAGCUGGUGUAAUUUGGAGCUGUCCUUAAACCAGCCUCAUCCAUGCAGAUGGUGUGGCACAGCACCCUGCUGCCUGGCUGAAGGAAGUUUUAAAUACUGUUUUGUGACAGAUCUGAAUCAGGGUACUGCAUAUUGGCAUAGUUAUUAGGACACUUACUGUAAA